rnacentral:tRNA from 2 species
GUCUUGGUAGUAUAAACAUUACUUUGGUCUUGUAAACCAAAAAUGAAGAAGCUAUCUUCCCAGGACA